CCUCCUUUCUUCUCCCUCCAACAUCUAGGCCACCCCAACCUGGACCCCAUCCCUACCUUUCCCCCAUCCAUGCCUCCUCCCAUACCGCCCCUCAGCCUCCCUCCCUCCCCAACACCCUCCAGUCUGCAACAACCUUCCCCAACCCACACACCUGUAUCCCUUAGUUCAUUCCUCCACUCAUGGGACUCCUCAGCCCCCAUCUUUCUCCAACAUCCUCCCAGCUCACCACAGCCUGCACCUCCAUCCAUGCCUCCAUCUGUAGGGACUGUUCAGCCCCCCUUCCUCCCCAACAGCCCCCCCCACUUCUUCUCCCCAUCUGUUGGGCCCCUCAGCCCCCUUUUUUCCUCCCUCCCAACACUCUCAGCCCAACGCAACCUGCACCCCACUCUGUCCCUAGAUCUGUGGGUCUCCAGUGCUCUUUUCUCCUUUCUCCAACAUUCCCCAACCUGCACCCCUAUUCCUACCCUUUCCCCCAGUCCCUCCUUCCACCCAUGGGGCCCCUCAGCCCUUCUCUCUCCUUCCUCCCCAACACGCACCCUUCGUAGGACGUGGUCAGGGGUACUAGGUGUGCAUCCCCACAGGCCAGGUCUCGGGAGCCACGGAGAAGUAGGAGCGGACGAAAACCAUGUGGAUUAGUGGAUAAUAGAGUGGAACGGUGACUGACAGUGUGGGCUCAGUCUCUGUUCCUCGACUGCGGUUGAUGUAGACGGAAUGGGAGACAGAGGCAGGGUUGAGGGCAAGAUUUCCAGCACCAAUAGAGCUCUGUGUAGUGAUAGUUCUUGCUUGGCUUUAUUAGUUUGCAGAGGAAUCGUCCAGGAGCCCUAGCCAGACAAGAAUAUGGCAGAAGUGGAUCUAAGCAUCCUGGACAUCCUUCUAAGGAAACAUGAAUAGUCGACGUUUCUGCCUUCUGCAUCACUGGCUUUGCAAGGAAAACAGAGUCACGCAUCAGUGUCUCCUGCCCUCAUGCGAUGGAAAGCGAGCGAGAGCGUUGAGACUCUGAGCAUUGUUGAUGCCACGCAAAAGCCAUCCUUACCUGUACUCGGUGUAGUAUUGUUCACAAGCCGUGUGCUUUCUGGUUGGCUAUGAGGCUGUGUGAGAUUACGGCUGGGGAGAGGCCAGAGUCUGCUAUGCAGAGUGAUAAUAUCGGGUGCUGUUGCAAGGGGUGCUUUUUGGUUGUAGUGCUGAAGGCUUAAUGUGGGGGACGGUUGGGGGAGGAGUGCUGUCCUGUGGCAGAAGAAACUGGUUCCUGACCAGCUGUGCUUACUAGACAGACAAGGUCCCCAUUUUCGGGUGCUGCUCAUUUCUCUGGCCAGGAGCGGUGUGUCCUCCGCAGCAGAAGGUUGCAUCUAGGAGGAUGAUUCCAGAUGCUGCGCUUCCAGAGGAAUUUUCCAGGAGCCCUAUCUCGAGGAGAAAGUGGCAGAAGUGGACAUCCUUGUAAGCAGACAUGAACAGUCCUCACCUUUCUCACUCCCGCAUAACUGGCUUACCAAGGAAAAAGAGGUUGCGCGUCAGAGUCUACUGCCCUCAUGCGAUGUAAAGUGAGGGACAGCAGCGAGCUUGUGACCCGUGUUGAUGCCAGGGAAGAGCCGUCUAUCUGGGAUCCGAGCAGACGCCACUCUCCAUGAGAUAAGUGUCUGGUUUGGUGAUUGCUGUGCUCGUGGUCCACCUUGGUCCUGCUACGGACGCCCUGUUAGCUGGGGCUGGAUUUGUAAGAAAUGGUUCCUGACCAGCUGUGCUUACUAGACAGACAAGGUCCCCAUUUUCAGGGCUGCUCAUUUCUCUGGCCAGGAGCGGUGUGUCCUCCGCAGCAGAAAGUUGCAUCUAGGAGGAUGACUCCAGGUGUGCCGUCUGCCUUCGUCGGACACAGGCAGACAUGCUAGGUGUACAUCCCCACAGGCCAGGUCUUGGGCGCCAUGGAGAAGUAGGAGCGGACAUAAGCAUGCGGGGCUGUGGGCGCUAAAGUGGAGCUGUCACUAUCUGUCUGUGUUUACUCGGAUUCUGUUCAUCGAGUGAGGCUAAUGUAGAUGGGACUAGAGAGGGAGGCAGGGCUGAGGGCAAGAUUUCCAGCACCAAUAGAGCUCUGUGUAGUGAUAGUUCUUGCUUGGUUUUAUUAGUUUGCAGAGGAAUCGUCCAGGAACCGUAGCCGGACAAGAAUAUGGCAGAAGUGGACCUGAGCAGUCUGGACAUGCUGCUAAGGAGACAUGAAUAGUCCUCAUGUUUCUGCCUUCUGUAUCACUGGCUGUGAGUAAGAGUACCAAGGAAAAAGUAGUCACACAUCAGAGUCUACUGCCCUCAUGCGAUGGAAAGCGAGCGAGAGCGUCGAGACUCUGAGCAUUGUUGAUGCCAUGCAUAAGCCGUCCAUCUCAGUGCCGAGGAGAUGCCGCUGUCAGUGAGAUAAGUGUCUGGUUUGGUGAGGGCUCUGCUCACGCCUCACCUGAGUUCAGGUAGGGAAGACCAGUACAGCUGGGCUGGGUUUGUUUGACAAGGUUUCUGACGAGUUGUGGUUACGGGAGAGAAAAGGUCCCUAUUUUCAGACGUUGCUCAUUUCUCUGGUCAGGAACAGCGUCUCCUCUGCAGCAGAAGGUUGCCUCCAGGAGGAUGACUCCAGGUAGUGAGUUGCUUGCCUUCCUCCCAUGUUUUUUCUCUCUCUCUCUCUUUUCUAGUACGUUGGCCAACACACACCCUCUAUCUCUCUCAGUCUAUCCUUGCCUUUCCUCAUGCUGUCUCCCUUCAUAAGACACGGUCAGGCGUGAUACGUGUGCAUCGCCACAGGCUAUGUCUCGGGAGCCAUGGAGAAGAAGGAGAGGGCGAAAUAUCAUGCAGGGCUGUUACUGUCAGUGUUAACUCGGUCUCUGUUCAUCAAGUGGGGCUGAUGUAGAUGGGACUGGAGAGAGGUGUCAUGAUGAGGGCAAGAUUUGAAGCAGCAAUAGAGCUUUGUGUAGUGAUGGUUCAUGCUUGGCUUUUGCAGCUGCGCUUCCAGAGGAAUUUUCCAAGAGCCCUAUCCUGAGAAGAAAGUGGCAGAAGUGGACAUGAGCAGACUGGACAUCCAUGUAAGCAGACAUGAACAGUCCUCACCUUUCUGCCUCCUGUUUAACUAGCUGUGAUACCAAGGAAAAAGAAGUCACGCAUCAGAGUCUACUGCCCUCAUGCAAUGUAAAGUGAGGGAGAGCAGCGAGCCUGUGACCCCUGUUGAUGCCAGGGAAGAGCCGUCUAUCUGGGAUCCGAGCAGACGCCACUCUCCGUGAGAUAAGUGUCUGGUUUGGUGAUUGCUGUGCUCGCGGUCCACCUUACUCCUGCUAGGGACGCCCUGUUAGCUGGGGCUGGGUUUGUAAGAAAUGGUUCCUGACCAGCUGUGCUUACUAGACAGACAAGGUCCCCAUUUUCAGGGGCUGCUUAUUUCUCUGGCCAGGAGCGGUGUGUCCUCCGCCGCAGAAGGUUGCAUCUAGGAGGAUGAGUCCAGGUGUUCGCUGAGGAAUUGUCCCGGAGCCCUAGCCGGAGAAGAAUAUGGCAGAAGUGGACCUGAGCAGCCUGGACAUACUUCUAAGGAGACGUGAAUAGUCCUCAUGUUUCUGCCUUCUGCAUCGCUGGCUGUGAGUAAGAGUACCAAGGAAAACGAAGUCACACGUCAGAGUCUACUGCCCUCAUGCAAUGGAAAGCGAGCGAGAGCGUCGAGACUCUGAGCAUUGUUGAUGCCACGCAAAAGCCGUCCAUCUGGGAGCUGAGGAGACGCUGCUGUCAGUGAGAUAAGUGUCUGGUUUGGUGAGCGCUCUGCUCACGCCCAACCUGAGUCGAGGUAGGGAAGUGCAGUACGGUAGGGCUGGGUUUGUAUGAAAAGGUUUCUGAUUAGCUGUGGUCACGAGGGAGAAAAGGUCCCUAUUUUCAGAGCUUGCUCAUUUCUCUGGUCAGGAACAAUGUCUCCUCCGCAGCGGAAGGUUGGAUCCAGGAGGAUGAUUCAGGUGGUGAGUUGCUUGUUUUCCUCCCAUAUUUUUUUUCCUCUUUCUCUCUCUCUCUCUUCUCUAGUGUGUUGGCCAACUUUCUCACUCUCUUUCCUCUCCUCUCCUCGUGCCGUCUCCCUUCGUAAGGCACGCGCAGGUGUGCUAAGUGUGCAUCCCUACAGGCUAGGUCUCAGGAUCCAUGGAGAAAUAAGAGCUAACGAAAAUCAUGCGUAGCAGUGGCUGUCGGUGUUAACUCGGUCUCUGUUGGUCGAGUGGGGCCGAGGUAGAUGGGAUUGAACAGGGAGGCCAGGAUGAGGGCAAAAUUUGAAGCACCAAUAGAGCUUUGUGUAGUGAUGGCUCAUGCUUGGCAUUUGCAGCUACGCUUCCAGAGGAAUUUUCCGGGAGCCCUAGACAGAGGAGAAAGUGGCAGAAGUGGACAUGAGCAGACUGGACAUCCUUGUAAGCAGACAUGAACAGUCGUCAGCUUUCUGACUCCCGCAUAACUGACUUACGGAGGGAAAAGAAAUCAAACAUCAGAGAUUACUCCCCACGUUGGAUGGAAAGCGAGUGAGAGCAGCAAGCCCGCAAGCAUUGUUGAUGCAAGUGAGGAGCCGUCCAGUUGGCAGUGGAGCAGUCGCUACUGUCAGCGAGAUAAGUGUCUGGUUUGGUGAGGGCUCUGCGUAGGGCCCCACUGGCUCCAAGUAGGGAUGCCCCGUUAGCUGGGGCUGGGUUUGUAAGAAAUGGUUCCUAACCAGCUGUGGUUACGAGAGAGACAAGGUCCCCAUUUUCAGGGGCUGCUCAUUUCUCUGGUCAGGAACGGUGUCUCCUCCGCAGCAGAAGGUUGGAACCAGGAGGAUGACUCCAGGUGGUCAGUUACUUGCUUUCCUCCAUUUUUUUCUCUCUCUCUUUCUCGGUCCUGUAGUGUGUUGGCCAACUUUCUCAUUCUCUUUCGUCUCCUGUCCUCGUGCCGUCUCCCUUCGUAGGACAUGGGCAGGCCUGCUAGGUGUGCAUCCCCAAGGGCCAUGUCUCAGGAGCCAUGGAGAAGUAGGAGGGGACAAAAAUCAUGCAGGGCUGUGACUGUCGGUGUUAACUCAGUCUCUGUUCAUCAAGUGGGGCUGAUGUAGAUGGGAUUGGAGAGGGAGGCCAGGAUGAGGGCAAGAUUUGAAGCAACAAAUAGAGCUUUAAGUAGUGAUGGCUCAUGCUUGGCUUUUGCAGAUGCGCUUCCAGAGGAAUUUUCCAAGAGCCCUAUCCUGAGGAGAAAGUGGCAGAAGUGGACAUGAGCAGACUGGACAUCCUUGUCAGCCGACAUGAACUGUCCUCAGCUUUCUGACUCCCGCAUAACUGGCUGACCGAGGAAAAAGAAGUCAUGCGUCAGAGUCUCAAGCCCUCAUGCAAUGGAAAGCGAGCCAGAGCGAUGAGACAGCGAACAUUGUUGAUGCCACGCAAAGGCCAUCGAAGUGGGAGGGAAACGGCCGCCACUCUUAGUUAGAUAAGUAUCUGUUUUGGUGAUUGUUCUGCUCACGGCCCACCUUCCUCCUGGUAGGGAUGCCCCGUUCUCUGGGGCUAGCUUUGUAAGAAAAUGUUCCUGUCUAGCUGUGGUUAUGAGGGGGACGAGGUCCCCAUUUUCAGGGGCUGCUCAUUUCUCUGGCCGGGACCGGUGUGUCCUCCACAGCAGAAGUUUGCAUCUAGGAGGAUGACUCCUGGUGGUGAGUUCCUUGCCUUCCUCCCAUGUCUCUCUCUCUCUCUCUCUCUCUCUCUCUUUUCUCUAGUGUGUUGGUCAACUUUCUCACUGUCUCUCCUCUCCUUUACUCUCCUUGUGCCAUCUUCCUUCGUAGGACAUGGGCAGGUGUGCAUCCCUACAUGCCAGGUUUUGGGAGUCGCGGACAAAAAUCAUGCUGGGCAGUGGGUGCGAGAGUGGAGUGGUGACUGUCGGUGUUAACUUGGUCUCUGUUCAUUGAACGGGGUCGAUGUAGAUGGGACUAGAGAGGGAGGCAGGGAUGAGGGCAAGAUUUCCAUCACCAAUAGAGCUCUGUGUAGUGAUAGUUCUUGUUUGGCUUUAUUAGUUUGCAGAGGAAUCGUCCAGGAACCCUAGCUGGACAAGAAUAUGGCGGAAGUGGACCUGAGCAGCCUGGACAUCCUUCUAAGGAGACAUGAAUAGUCCUCAUGUUUCUGCCUUCUGCAUCGCUGGCUGUGAUACCAAGGAAAAAGAAGUCACGCGUCAGAGUCUACUGCCCUCAUGCGAUGUAAAGUGAGGGAGAGCAGCAAGCCUGUAACUACUGUUGAUGCCAGGCAAGGGCCAUCUAUCUGGGAUCCGAGCAGACGCCUCUCUCCGUGAGAUAAGUGUCUGGUUUGGUGAUUGCUGUGCUCACGGUCCACCUUGGUCCUGCUAGGGACGCCCUGUUAGCUGGGGCUGGGUUUGUAAGAAAUGGUUACUGACCAGCUGCGCUUAUGAGAGAGACAAGAUCCCCAUUUCUGGGGGCUGCUCAUUUCUCUGGCCAGGAGCGGUGUGUCCUCCGCCGCAGAAGGUUGCAUCUAGGAGGAUGACUCCAGGUGGUGAGUUGCUUGCCUUCCUCCCAUCUUUCUCUUCUCUUGGCCAGCACACAGUGUCUCUCUCUCUCUCUCUCUGUCUGUCUGUCUGUCUGUCCUUCCCUUUCCUUCUGCUGUCUCCCUUCGUAAGACAGUGGUAGACGUGCUAGGUGUGUAUCCCUACAAGCCAGGUCUCGGGCGCCAUGGAGAAGUAAGAGUGGACGAAAAGCAUGCGGGGCAGUGGGCACUAAAGUGGAGCUGUGACUGUCUGUGUUUACUCAGUCUCUGUUCAUCGAAUGGGGCUGAUGUAGAUGGGACAGGAGAAGGAGGCAGGGCUGAGGGCAAGAUUUUCAGCACCAAUAGAGCUCUGUGUAGUGAUAGUUCUUGCUUGGCUUUAUUAGUUUGCAGAGGAAUCGUCCCGGAGCCCUAGCCGGACAAGAAUAUGGCAGAAGUGGACCUGAGCAGCCUGGACAUGCUUCUAAGGAGACGUGAAUAGUUGUCAUGUUUCUGCCUUCUGUAUCACUGGCUGUGAGUAAGAGGUCAGUGCUUUCAAUUCCUCAUCUGUAGUCAUUGUCGUUUUCUUCCGAGACCGUGUGCUCUCUCGUUGGCUCUGAGGCUCUGGGAUUAAGGCAGAGGAAGGGACGAGAGUCUCCUGAGCAAAGUGAGUAUUUUGGGUGCCGUUAUAAUGGGUGCCUUCUAGUUGCAGUUGUAACAUAGUAAUGGAUGAUGGGUUGAGGGCGGAGCCGUGGGAUAUGGGAAAUGUGAAAUGAAGAGUCGACGCGACAUUGCAGAUGCUAAUUUUUUUUUGUUUUUUCCCCUCUCUGCUGGGUUUAGUAUAAAGGAAAACGAAGUCACGCGUCAGAGUCUACUGCCCUCAUGCGAUGGAAAGCGAGCCAGAGCGUCGAGACUCUGAACAUUGCUGAUGCCACGCAAAAGCCGUCAAUCUGGGAGCUGAGGAGACGCCGCUGUGAGUGAGAUAAGUGUCUGGUUUGGUGAGGGCUCUGCUCACGCUCAACCUGAGCCCAGGUAGGGAAGCCCAGUACGGUAGGUCUGGGUUUGUAUGAAAAGGUUUCUGACUAGCUGUGGUCUCGAGGGAGAAAAAGUCCCUAUUUUCAGAGGUUGCUCAUUUCUCUGGUCAGGAACAGUGUCUCCUCUGCAGCAGAAGGUUGGAUCCAGGAGGAUGACUCAGGUGGUGAGUUGCUUGCUUUCCUCCCAUAUUUUUUUUCCUCUCUCUCUCUCUCUCUCCUCUAGUGU